AUAGCACUUUGGGAUCUUGGCCUUUCUAGGAGCCAGCUUGCUUUCAUCUUACUGUUUUGAUUGUGCCUCACAAGGGACAACACUCCGAUUGUCUAGGAGGAGGAAGGUCAGGGACAGAAAAGUAAAAGCCAGGAGCAGCCUGUCCUGUCUGCCUGGGCUGCUGGGGAAUGAUUGUCAGUGAAUCGAGUUGUCUGUGGAGCCCCUGAGCAAAUUCUCCCAGUGGCAGGUAAGACAAACUGACUUAGAACUGUAAGACCAGCGAGGGCUUUUUCCCUUUCAGCCCAGUUUGUGGGCUGUCACCUGACAUGUCCCCCAUCUUAUGGAGAUAUUCAAUGUUCUGCUCACUCGGAGUUUUCAGGUUGCUCCUUUAAUGCUGGCAUCUGUCAAACCCAGAGUCUCACUCUUAACAAGGAAGUACUGUACCCCUGAGCUGUCCAGCCCUGAGUCUUCGCGGUUUGUGAAGCCGUGCUAUGUUAUCUACAAUGGAGACUUUACUCCAGAUAGACCAGCUCCCGAAGGUGUUGCUGCUUGCUAGAGGCUGAGGCACUGUGGGGUGAUUUCUUCUCCCCAUGAUAGCUUUUGAGUGGUGUAUUUGCAGAUCAAAACAAACAAAACCAAACCAGAACCGUGUCAUCCAUGACAUCCUUUGUCCCCAGUCACUGACUGACUCCAUUUUGCUUAAGUCUCUAUGAAGCAUCCACCCUGGAAGUAAUAUUACAACACUGCUAAUAUGUCCGGGCAAUAUUCCUGGGUGGACUUGUUUGGUCUACAUAUUUUUCAUAAACAAGACAGUCUAUGAGCUCAGGUUCUAUCUGUGCCUGGCCUGCCUGGGCCAAAGGCUCUUUCUCCAGCUUUACUAACUGUUUAGCAAGUAGCUCAGCAGCUAUAGUUUGGCUAUGGUAUUUCUAAGGUCGGGAUAAUGAUAAUACCUGCCUCAUUGGGUGCUGAGGAUUAAAUAGGAUACACACUUAAAAGGCUCACCUGAGCCUUGCACUUACAGAGCCCUCGGUUAAAGGUCUCGUAAUUUCAGGUGUCGGGCUCAAAUGUUGCCUGACUCCUAAGAGCUGGUGUGGGGUAAGAUACCCCUGGGUAUUCAGCGUCUCUCCUUCUCCCAUGGGUGUUUUCCAGCGCUCAGUCUGUGGGACUUAUUGACUAGUUCUUUCCCCCAUGACAACGUGAACUCUCCGUGGAUGGUCUUUUUAUUCCGGUUUCAGGCCCCAAGGUUGCGCCUGGCAUGCAAUUGGCUUUGUUGAAUGCCUCUCCGCUCCCA
rnacentral:lncRNA from 1 species